CCGACUGCCAGACCUUCAACCCCACCACCACCAACAACAACAACACAGAGUUUCACAAGAAGCUCCACAUCUUUAUCAUCUUCUACUAAAACUACCAACCAGUCUGAACAGAAGCAAACUGAGACAACAACAGAUGGAGGUUCAGGUCAAUCUACAACAGGUGUGCCGCUGUACGUGGGUCUGACUCUGUUCAUCUUCGUGCUCCUGUUCUCCGUGGCUGUGCUGAUACUCUGCAAGAAAAGAGCCUCUAAACCCAAAGAACAUCCUGAGGAAGCAGUGUAUGCUAAUUUCA